AACGGCCGUACCAUGCUGAAUAUACCGGUUCUCGUUAGAUCUCGUCAUUCGAGGGGAGGGGGUGGGGUGAGAAAGGGGUUCCGUAUCCAAAAGGUUUUCACCGAAGUCAUCAUUGGGCGCGGUCAGUACUUGGGUGGGUGACCACCUGGGAACACCGCGUGCCGUU